rnacentral:tRNA from 1 species
GGCCUUAUCGUCUAGUGGUUGAGGACACCGCCCUCUCACGGCGGCGACGGGGGUUCGAAUCCCCCUAAGGCUA